rnacentral:rRNA from 1 species
UACGUAGGGUGCAAGCGUUAAUCGGAAUUACUGGGCGUAAAGCGUGCGCAGGCGGUUUUGUAAGACUGUCGUGAAAUCCCCGGGCUUAACCUGGGAAUGGCGAUGGUGACUGCAAGGCUAGAGUUUGGCAGAGGGGGGUAGAAUUCCACGUGUAGCAGUGAAAUGCGUAGAGAUGUGGAGGAACGCCGAUGGCGAAGGCAGCCCCCCUGGGUCAAAACUGACGCUCAUGCACGAAAGCGUGGGGAGCAAACAGG